rnacentral:rRNA from 1 species
ACUCAAAGGAAUUGACGGGGGCCCGCACAAGCGGUGGAGCAUGUGGUUUAAUUCGAUGCAACGCGAAGAACCUUACCAGGUCUUGACAUCCAUAGAACCCAUAUGAAAGUAUGGGGUGCCAUUAGGAGCUAUGAGACAGGUGGUGCAUGGUUGUCGUCAGCUCGUGUCGUGAGAUGUUGGGUUAAGUCCCGCAACGAGCGCAACCCUUGCAAUUAGUUGCUAACAGGUAAAGCUAGAGCACUCUAAUAGGACUGCCCGUGACAAGCGGGAGGAAGGUGGGGAUGACGUCAAAUCAUCAUGCCCUUUAUGAUCUGGGCUACACACGUGCUACAAUGGAUGGUACAGAGGGAAGCGAAGCUGUGAAGCGGAGCGAAUCUCAAAAAGCCAUUCUCAGUUCGGAUUGUAGUCUGCAACUCGACUACAUGAAGUCGGAAUCGCUAGUAAUCGCGAAUCAGCAUGUCGCGGUGAAUGCGUUCCCGGGCCUUGUACACACCGCCCGU